rnacentral:rRNA from 1 species
CGGGUGAGUAACACGUGGGUAACCUGCCCUGUACUCUGGGAUAAGCCUGGGAAACUAGGUCUAAUACCGGAUAUGACUCCAUUAGGCAUCUUGUGGGGUGGAAAGUUCCGGCGGUACAGGAUGGACCCGCGGCCUAUCAGCUUGUUGGUGGGGUAAUGGCCUACCAAGGCGACGACGGGUAGCCGGCCUGAGAGGGUGACCGGCCACACUGGGACUGAGACACGGCCCAGACUCCUACGGGAGGCAGCAGUGGGGAAUAUUGCACAAUGGGCGAAAGCCUGAUGCAGCGACGCCGCGUGAGGGAUGACGGCCUUCGGGUUGUAAACCUCUUUCAGCAGGGACGAAGCGCAAGUGACGGUACCUGCAGAAGAAGCACCGGCUAACUACGUGCCAGCAGCCGCGGUAAUACGUAGGGUGCGAGCGUUGUCCGGAAUUAUUGGGCGUAAAGAGCUCGUAGGCGGUUUGUUGCGUCGGCUGUGAAAACUUCACGCUUAACGUGGAGCCUGCAGUCGAUACGGGCAGACUUGAGUUC